UACGUAGGGCGCAAGCGUUAUCCGGAAUUAUUGGGCGUAAAGAGCUCGUAGGCGGUCUGUCGCGUCUGCUGUGAAAACUCAGGGCUUAACCCUGAGCUUGCAGUGGGUACGGGCAGACUAGAGUGCGGUAGGGGAGACUGGAAUUCCUGGUGUAGCGGUGAAAUGCGCAGAUAUCAGGAGGAACACCGGUGGCGAAGGCGGUUCUCUGGGCCUGUACUGACGCUGGAGGAACGAAAGCGUGGGGAGCGAACAGG
rnacentral:rRNA from 1 species